UGAGUAAAUCAGAUAGUCGCAUAGAAAUAUGAGGAAAGUCCGAGCUUCACAGGGCAAAAUGCCGGAUAACGUCCGGUGGAGGCGACUCCAAGGCUAGUGCAACAGAAAUAUACCGCCGUAAAAACGGUAAGGGUGGAAAGGCGAGGUAAGAGCUCACCAAAAGACAGGUGACUGUCUUGUUAUGUAAACCCCAUUUGAAGCAAGACCAAGAAGGGAUAAAAAAAUGGCUGCCCGUCAUGUCCCAAAGGUAGGUCGCUAGAGCUAAGAGGCAACUCUUAGAGUAGAUAGAUGGCUAUCAAAUACAGAACUCGGCUUACAGAUUUACUCACUUU
rfam:Peptostreptococcaceae bacterium CCRI-22567 contig-1, whole genome shotgun sequence.